AACGAACGUUAGCGGCGCGCCUAACACAUGCAAGUCGAGCGAGAAAGGGCUUCGGCCCCGGUAAAGCGGCGCACGGGUGAGUAACACGUGGGUAACCUGCCCUCGGGUUGGGGAUAACAUUCCGAAAGGAGUGCUAAUACCGAAUAAGACCACGACCUCGAAAGAGGAUGCGGUCAAAGCUGGCCUCUAUACAUAAGCUAGCGCCUGAGGAUGGGCCCGCGGCGCAUCAUGGUAGUUGGUGAGGUAACGGCUCACCAAGCCGAAGACGCGUAGCUGGUCUGAGAGGAUGAUCAGCCACACUGGAACUGAGACACGGUCCAGACUCCUACGGGAGGCAGCAGUGGGGAAUCUUGCGCAAUGGGCGAAAGCCUGACGCAGCGACGCCGCGUGAGUGAUGAAGG
rnacentral:rRNA from 1 species